AAAUAGAAAUCAAAUAAAUGCUAAUGAGUAGAAAUAUUUUAUAUUAUAGAUCAAGAAUCCAAAGAAGAACGAGGAAAAGAAAAAGUUGCGGAAUAGUCCCAAAAUUUCAAUAUCUUCUACAAAUUAGCCGGAUUGACUUGAAGUGAAGUGGGUAGAUCGGAUCAACACAACAAAGCACACUAUCCAGAUCAAUUCCGGUAGCUUUUGUUUUAUGUUUGAAGAUUUAUAUGGCAUGUAUAGAGUUUGAAUGAAUUGAAGUAAAGAUGUUAUAAACUAGUUAACAAUAUUUGUACUAAAA